rnacentral:rRNA from 1 species
AAACAUGUCCUUUUGUAAUUUAUAUAAGGUCUGACCUGCCCAAUGAUUUUUUAAUGGCCGCGGUAUUUUAACCGUGCUAAGGUAGCAUAAUCAUUUGUCUUUUAAUUAAGGGCUGGAAUGAAAGGUUGGACGAGGUAUUAGCUUUCUUUAAUUUAAUUAUUUGAAUUUUAUUUUUGAGUGAAAAAGCUUAAAUGUUAUUGUUGGACGAGAAGACCCUAUAGAUCUUAAUAUUUUAUUUGGUUAUAAUAUUUAGUGAUUAAUUUUUUGUAACUAAAAUAAAUAUUUGAUUGGGGUGAUUAUAGAAUUAUAUUAACUUCUAUUAAUUAGUUUUCAUUAAUUAAUGUUUUUUUGAUCCAUUCUUAUUGAUUAAAAGAUUAAGUUACCUUAGGGAUAACAGCGUAAUUUCUACGGAGAGUUCAUAUCGAUGUAGGAGUUUGCGACCUCGAUGUUGGAUUAAAAUUAGUUUUGGAUGCAGUAGUUCAAUAACUAGGUCUGUUCGACCUUUUAAUUUUUACAUGAUCUGA